rnacentral:rRNA from 1 species
AACGAACGCUGGCGGCAUGCCUAACACAUGCAGGUCGAACGAGACCUUCGGGUCUAGUGGCGCGCGGGUGCGUAACGCGUGGGAACCUGCCCUUAGGUUCGGAAUAACUCCCCGAAAGGGGUGCUAAUACCGGAUAAUGUCUUCGGACCAAAGAUUUAUCGCCUUUGGAUGGGCCCGCGUUGGAUUAGCUAGUUGGUAGGGUAAAAGCCUACCAAGGCGACGAUCCAUAGCUGGUCUGAGAGGAUGAUCAGCCACACUGGGACUGAGACACGGCCCAGACUCCUACGGGAGGCAGCAGUGGGGAAUAUUGGACAAUGGGCGAAAGCCUGAUCCAGCAAUGCCGCGUGAGUGAUGAAGGCCUUAGGGUUGUAAAGCUCUUUUACCCGGGAUGAUAAUGACAGUACCGGGAGAAUAAGCUCCGGCUAACUCCGUG